UCUCCGUAGGUGAACCUGCGGAGGGAUCAUUAUUGAAUUAACAACUCCCAAACCCCGUCGCUCAUACGACUUGUCGCGCCCGCGGAUGUGCCCGCUCCCGGAAAAACGGGACCCCCAACCAGAGGACCCCUAGACUCCGCUUCUAUAUGUAACGUCUGAGUGAUACCAUAAAUACACCAACACUUUCUACAACGGAUCUUUUGGUUUUUGCAUUGAUGAUGAACGAAGCAGAUCAGCAGAGCACAAGGCUGAUCUCCAGUCACAAUUCCGGAAAUAACA
rnacentral:misc_RNA from 1 species